CCCUCACCCAGCUGCUGCGGCGGAGAGACGGAGGCCAGCGCGGGGAGCGGAAGCCGGAGCCUGUCGGGAGCGACCCCGGGAAGGCCAGUCCCUCCUGCCGGAGGGAGGCGUGUUGGCGUGCGGCCGGUGGCGGGAUCGAUGGCCACCUGGUAGGCGAUGCUGCUGCGGCGGAGAGACGGAGGCCAGCGCGGGGAGCGGAAGCCGGAGCCUGUCGGGAGCGACCCCGGAAGGCCAGUCCCUCCUGCCGGAGGGAGGCGUGUUGGCGUGCGGCCGGUGGCGGGAUCGAUGGCCACCUGGUAGGCGAUGCUGCUGCGGCGGAGAGACGGAGGCCAGCGCGGGGAGCGGAAGCCGGAGCCUGUCGGGAGCGACCCCGGGAAGGCCAGUCCCUCCUGCCGGAGGGAGGCGUGUUGGCGUGCGGCCGGUGGCGGGAUCGAUGGCCACCUGGUAGGCGAUGGUAAGCGGCAGUGGCCUGCGCCAAGGUAGCCCCCGGGGGCGGUGUGUGGCGCCCGGACCCGCACCCUCUGCUCCCGGGGGUGGAGCUGACCUGCUUGCCCGCGGUUGGGCUCGGGAGCCUGCGGGCCGCGGCCAGGAGGGAGCUGGCUGGCCGUCCCGGCGGUGGGGCUUGUGGCGGUGGCGUCCCGCGGUGUGCCCGUGCUCGGAUCGAUGAUGACACCCACAAACGCAUUCCUUGAAAAUCUGAACAAAAUGAGUGAGAACUCACUACCGUCUCCUCAUCGCAAACUGAGUCCGGCACGUGGCUCCCACAGGGGACGUCGGGGAGGGUCCCGUUGCUUGCUCCCUUGGGUGCGUGCAGCCCUGGGGCGCAGGUGGGCAGGCAGGCCUACGGUG
rnacentral:lncRNA from 1 species